rnacentral:rRNA from 1 species
GUUCGAUCAUAAGCUCAGAUUGAACGCUGGUGGGAUGCUUUACAUGCAAGUCGAACGGCGCUGGACUUCAGUCCGGUGGCGAGUGGCGAACGGGUGAGUAAUGUAUGGAACGUGCCUAGUAGCGGGGGAUAACUUCACAUGACGUAGUAUAAUAAUACCGCAUACGCCCUUCGAGAAAGCAGGGGGACCUUCGGGCCUCGCACUAUUAGAGCGGCCGAUAUCGGAUUAGCUGGUUAGUGGGGUAACGACUCGCAAGGCGACGUCCGUAGCUGGUUUGAGAGGACGACCAGCCACUGGGAUGAAGACGGCCAGACUCCUGCAGGAGGCAGCAGUGGGGAAUUUUGGACAAUGGGAAACCUGAUCCAGCCAUCCCGCGUGUGCGAUGAAGGCCUUCGGGUUGUAAGCCCUUUUGGCGGGAAAGAAACGGCUGGGAUAAUACCCGUGCAACUGACGGUACCUGCAGAAUAAGCACCGGCUAACUACGUGCCAGCGGCGCGGUAAUACGUAGGGUGCAAGCGCGUUAAUCGGAAUUACUGGGCAUGACGUGCGCAGGCGGUUCGGAAAGAAAGAUGUGAAAUCCCAGGCUUAACUUUGGGGCUGCGUACCGCAACUGCCGAGCUAGAGUGUAUCAGAGGGAGGUGGAGAUUCACGCGUGUAGCAGUGAGUAAGCAGAUAUGGAGGGCACGAAAUGGCGAAGGCAACCUCUGGGAUAACACUGACGCUCAUGCACGAAAGCGUGGGGAGCAGCAGCAGAUUAGAUCUGGUAGUCCCGCGCCUAAACGAUGUCAACUAGCUGGUAGAGCCUUCGGGCCUUGGUAGCGCAGCUAACGCGUGAAGUUGACCGCCUGGGAAGUACGGUCGCAAGAUUAAAACUCCGAAUUGACUGAGGACCCGCACAAGCGGUGGAUGAUGGAUUAAUUCGAUGGCGCGAAAACCUUACCUACCCUUGACAUGUCUGGGAAUCCGAAGAGAUUUGCGGAAUUGCUCGCAGAGAACGGAACACAGGUGCUGCAUGGCUGUCGUCAGCUCGUGUCGUGAGAUGUUGGGUUAGUCCACAACGAGCUGUGUGUCGUGGAUUGCUACGAAAGGGCACUCUAAUGAGACUGCCGGUGACAAACCGGAGGAAGGUGAGGAUGACGUCAAGUCCUCAUGGCCACUUAUGGUGGGGCUUGCACGUCAUGCAAUGGUCGGGACAGAGGGUCGCCAACCCACGAGAGGCCAAUCCAGAAACCCGAUCCUUGGUCGGAUCGCAGUCUGUCGACUGCGUAAAGUCGGAAUCGCUAGUAAUCGCGGAUCAGCAUGUCGCGGUGAAUACGUUCCCGGGUCUUGUAGCCUUUUACCGCCGUCCACCAUGGGAGUGGGUUUUACCAGAAGUAGUUAGCCUAACCGUAAGGAGGGCGAUUACCACGGUAAGUUUCAUGACUGGGGUGAAGUCGUAACAAGGUAG